UCUGUGCCCCGAAUUGCCGCGGGGGCAGG
rnacentral:sRNA from 1 species